rnacentral:rRNA from 1 species
CCUACGGGAGGCAGCAGUGGGGAAUAUUGCACAAUGGGGGAAACCCUGAUGCAGCGACGCCGCGUGAGUGAAGAAGUAUUUCGGUAUGUAAAGCUCUAUCAGCAGGGAAGAAAAUGACGGUACCUGAUUAAGAAGCCCCGGCUAACUACGUGCCAGCAGCCGCGGUCAUACGUAGGGGGCAAGCGUUAUCCAGAUUUACUGGGUGUAAAGGGAGCGUAGACGGCAGCACAAGUCUGGAGUGAAAUGCCGGGGCUUAACCCCGGAACUGCUUUGGAAACUGUGCAGCUAGAGUGCAGGAGGGGUAAGUGGAAUUCCUAGUGGAGCGGUGAAAUGCGUAGAUAUUAGGAGGAACACCAGUGGCGAAGGCGGCUUACUGGACUGUAACUGACGUUGAGGCUCGAAAGCGUGGGGAGCAAACAGGAUUAGAUACCCGUGUAGUC